rnacentral:tRNA from 2 species
GGGUGGUUAGCUCAGCUGGGAGAGCACCUCCCUUACAAGGAGGGGGUCGGCGGUUCGAUCCCGUCAUCACCCACCA